CUACGGGGGGCAGCAGUGAGGAAUAUUGCACAAUGGGGGGAACCCUGAUGCAGCAACGCCGCGUGGAGGAUGACGCAUUUCGGUGUGUAAACUCCUUUUAUAUGUCAAAAAAAUGACGGUAGCAUAUGAAUAAGCACCGGCUAACUCCGUGCCAGCAGCCGCGGUAAUACGGAGGGUGCAAGCGUUACUCGGAAUCACUGGGCGUAAAGGACGCGUAGGCGGGUUGGAAAGUCAGGUGUGAAAUCCUACAGCUUAACUGUAGAACUGCACUUGAAACUUCUAAUCUAGAGUAUGGGAGGGGGAGAUGGAAUUAGUGGUGUAGGGGUAAAAUCCGUAGAUAUCACUAGGAAUACCUAAAGCGAAGGCGAUCUCCUGGAACAUUACUGACGCUAAGGCGUGAAGGCGUGGGGAGCAAACAGGAUUAGAUACCCCUGUAGUC
rnacentral:rRNA from 1 species